rnacentral:misc_RNA from 1 species
UAAAAGCCUCAAGCCCAGCCGGCUUGGUGUUGGGCGUUUGUCCCGCCUCGGGCGCGGACUCGCCUCAAAAGCAUUGGCGGCCCGUGUAGUUGGCUUCGAGCGCAGCAGACUCGCGCCUCGCAAACGACUGGCACGGGCGUCCAUCAAGACGCACCCCCAAGUUUGACCUCGGAUCAGGUAGGGAUACCCGCUGAACUUAA